rnacentral:rRNA from 1 species
AACAAACGCUGGCGGCGUGCCUAAUACAUGCAAGUCGAACGGGGUAGCAAUACCUAGUGGCGCACGGGUGAGUAAGGCGUGGAUAAUCUGUCUUAGAGUGGGGGAUAACUAGUCGAAAGAUUAGCUAAUACCGCAUAAGACAACAAGAACUGCGGUUCAAGGGGUCAAAGGUGUUUCGCUCUAAGAUGAGUCCGCGUAAGAUUAGCUAGUUGGUGAGGUAAUGGCUCACCAAGGCGACGAUCUUUAACUGGUCUGAGAGGAUGAUCAGUCACACUGGAACUGAGACACGGUCCAGACUCCUACGGGAGGCAGCAGUAGGGAAUAUUGCACAAUGGAGGAAACUCUGAUGCAGCGACGCCGCGUGAGUGAUGAAGGCCUUCGGGUCGUAAAGCUCUGUCGCAGGGGAAUAACACAAUGAAUGUACCCUGUAAGAAAGGAUCGGCUAACUUCGUGCCAGCAGCCGCCGUAACAC